AGUGAACGCUGGCGGUAGGCCUAGCACAUGCAAGUCGAACGGCAGCACAGUAAGAGCUUGCUCUUACGGGUGGCGAGUGGCGGACGGGUGAGGAAUACAUCGGAAUCUACUUUUUCGUGGGGGAUAACGUAGGGAAACUUACGCUAAUACCGCAUACGACCUACGGGUGAAAGCAGGGGAUCUUCUGACCUUGCGCGAUUGAAUGAGCCGAUGUCGGAUUAGCUAGUUGGCGGGGUAAAGGCCCACCAAGGCGACGAUCCGUAGCUGGUCUGAGAGGAUGAUCAGCCACACUGGAACUGAGACACGGUCCAGACUCCUACGGGAGGCAGCAGUGGGGAAUAUUGGACAAUGGGCGCAAGCCUGAUCCAGCCAUACCGCGUGGGUGAAGAAGGCCUUCGGGUUGUAAAGCCCUUUUGUUGGGAAAGAAAAGCAGCAGGUUAAUACCCCGCUGUUCUGACGGUACCCAAAGAAUAAGCACCGGCUAACUUCGUG
rnacentral:rRNA from 1 species